GAUGAACGCUGGCGGCGUGCCUAAUACAUGCAAGUCGAGCGAACAGAUGAGGAGCUUGCUCCUCUGACGUUAGCGGCGGACGGGUGAGUAACACGUGGAUAACCUACCUAUAAGACUGGGAUAACUUCGGGAAACCGGAGCUAAUACCGGAUAAUAUAUUGAACCGCAUGGUUCAAUAGUGAAAGACGGUUUUGCUGUCACUUAUAGAUGGAUCCGCGCCGCAUUAGCUAGUUGGUAAGGUAACGGCUUACCAAGGCAACGAUGCGUAGCCGACCUGAGAGCAGGAGCAGCCACGCUGGUAAUGAGAACAGGACCAGACGCAAGCGGGAGGGAGCAGGGCGGAAUUAUGCACAAUGGUCGAAAGCCUGAAAAACUAAUUCAGCGGGAGAGAAGAAUGUUGUAGGAACGGAAACAGCUGUUAUUGGUAACGAAAAAAAGAGCAAGAAACUAGUACCUGCCGGACGGGACGUUAACAGAAAGACAGCGCUAACUACAGG
rnacentral:rRNA from 1 species